GGCCUGCGCGGAAGAUGUAACGGGGCUAAACCAUGCACCGAAGCUGCGGCAGCGACGCUGAUGCGUUGUUGGGUAGGGGAGCGUUCUGUAAGCCUGUGAAGGUGUGCUGUGAGGCAUGCUGGAGGUAUCAGAAGUGCGAAUGCUGACAUAAGUAACGAUAAAGCGGGUGAAAAGCCCGCUCGCCGGAAGACCAAGGGUUCCUGUCCAACGUUAAUCGGGGCAGGGUGAGUCGACCCCUAAGGCGAGGCCGAAAGGCGUAGUCGAUGGGAAACAGGUUAAUAUUCCUGUACUUGGUGUUACUGCGAAGGGGGGACGGAGAAGGCUAUGUUGGCCGGGCGACGGUUGUCCCGGUUUAAGCGUGUAGGCUGGUUUUCCAGGCAAAUCCGGAAAAUCAAGGCUGAGGCGUGAUGACGAGGCACUACGGUGCUGAAGCAACAAAUGCCCUGCUUCCAGGAAAAGCCUCUAAGCAUCAGGUAACAUCAAAUCGUACCCCAAACCGACACAGGUGGUCAGGUAGAGAAUACCAAGGCGCUUGAGAGAACUCGGGUGAAGGAACUAGGCAAAAUGGUGCCGUAACUUCGGGAGAAGGCACGCUGAUAUGUAGGUGAAGCGACUUGCUCGUGGAGCUGAAAUCAGUCGAAGAUACCAGCUGGCUGCAACUGUUUAUUAAAAACACAGCACUGUGCAAACACGAAAGUGGACGUAUACGGUGUGACGCCUGCCCGGUGCCGGAAGGUUAAUUGAUGGGGUCAGCGCAAGCGAAGCUCUUGAUCGAAGCCCCGGUAAACGGCGGCCGUAACUAUAACGGUCCUAAGGUAGCGAAAUUCCUUGUCGGGUAAGUUCCGACCUGCACGAAUGGCGUAAUGAUGGCCAGGCUGUCUCCACCCGAGACUCAGUGAAAUUGAACUCGCUGUGAAGAUGCAGUGUACCCGCGGCAAGACGGAAAGACCCCGUGAACCUUUACUAUAGCUUGACACUGAACAUUGAGCCUUGAUGUGUAGGAUAGGUGGGAGGCUUUGAAGUGUGGACGCCAGUCUGCAUGGAGCCGACCUUGAAAUACCACCCUUUAAUGUUUGAUGUUCUAACGUGGACCCGUAAUCCGGGUUGCGGACAGUGUCUGGUGGGUAGUUUGACUGGGGCGGUCUCCUCCUAAAGAGUAACGGAGGAGCACGAAGGUUGGCUAAUCCUGGUCGGACAUCAGGAGGUUAGUGCAAUGGCAUAAGCCAGCUUGACUGCGAGCGUGACGGCGCGAGCAGGUGCGAAAGCAGGUCAUAGUGAUCCGGUGGUUCUGAAUGGAAGGGCCAUCGCUCAACGGAUAAAAGGUACUCCGGGGAUAACAGGCUGAUACCGCCCAAGAGUUCAUAUCGACGGCGGUGUUUGGCACCUCGAUGUCGGCUCAUCACAUCCUGGGGCUGAAGUAGGUCCCAAGGGUAUGGCUGUUCGCCAUUUAAAGUGGUACGCGAGCUGGGUUUAGAACGUCGUGAGACAGUUCGGUCCCUAUCUGCCGUGGGCGCUGGAGAACUGAGGGGGGCUGCUCCUAGUACGAGAGGACCGGAGUGGACGCAUCACUGGUGUUCGGGUUGUCAUGCCAAUGGCACUGCCCGGUAGCUAAAUGCGGAAGAGAUAAGUGCUGAAAGCAUCUAAGCACGAAACUUGCCCCGAGAUGAGUUCUCCCUGACUCCUUGAGAGUCCUGAAGGAACGUUGAAGACGACGACGUUGAUAGGCCGGGUGUGUAAGCGCAGCGAUGCGUUGAGCUAACCGGUACUAAUGAACCGUGAGGCUUAACC
rnacentral:rRNA from 1 species